rnacentral:rRNA from 1 species
UACGUAGGGUGCAAGCGUUGCCCGGAUUUAUUGGGCGUAAAGGGCGCGUAGGCGGCCCGGCGCGUCCGCGGUGAAAGCUCCCGGCUCAACUGGGAGAGGUCCGCGGAAACGGUCGGGCUGGAGCAAGGUAGGGGGUCGUGGAAUUCCCGGUGUAGUGGUGGAAUGCGUAGAGAUCGGGAGGAACACCAGUGGCGAAGGCGGCGACCUGGACCUGUGCUGACGCUGAGGCGCGAAAGCGUGGGGAGCGAACAGG